GGCGGGGUGGAGCAGCUUGGUAGCUCGUCGGGCUCAUAACCCGAAGGUCGUCGGUUCAAAUCCGGCUCCCGCAACCA
rnacentral:tRNA from 1 species